rnacentral:rRNA from 1 species
GAUUUCUGACGAACCGGAUUGGCCCGUUUCCUUUCAGGGAAUGAGUGCCGCUUUGAGUUUGUCAUCCUUCCGGAGAGCUACGUCUACCGUUUACUCGGCCGGAUGUAUGCGAUCCGGAUCUAUUACUUUGAAAAAAUUAGAGUGUUUAAAGCAGGCUUAUGCUGUGAAUACAUUAGCAUGGAAUAAUAAUUUAGGACUUUAGUUCUAUUUUGUUGGUUUCUAGGACUGAAGUAAUGAUUGAUAGGGAUAGUUGGGGGUGCUAGUAUUCCGCGGCCAGAGGUGAAAUUCUUGGAUUCGUGGAAGACUAACUGCUGCGAAAGCAUU